AACGAACGCUGGCGGCAUGCCUAACACAUGCAAGUCGAACGAGACCUUCGGGUCUAGUGGCGCACGGGUGCGUAACGCGUGGGAACCUGCCCUUAGGUUCGGAAUAACUCCCCGAAAGGGGUGCUAAUACCGGAUAAUGUCUUCGGACCAAAGAUUUAUCGCCUUGGAUGGGUCCGUGGUGGAUUAGGUAGUUGGUAGGGGAAAAGCCUACCAAGGCGACGCUUCAUAGCUGGUCUGAGAGGAUGAUCAGCCACACUGGGACUGAGACACGGCCCAGACUCCUACGGGAGGCAGCAGUGGGGAAUAUUGGACAAUGGGCGAAAGCCUGAUCCAGCAAUGCCGCGUGAGUGAUGAAGGCCUUAGGGUUGUAAAGCUCUUUUACCCGGGAUGAUAAUGACAGUACCGGGAGAAUAAGCUCCGGCUAACUCCGUG
rnacentral:rRNA from 1 species